ACGGGAGGCAGCAGUGGGGAAUAUUGCACAAUGGGGGAAACCCUGAUGCAGCGACGCCGCGUGAGUGAUGAAGUAUUUCGGUACGUAAAGCUCUAUCAGCAGGGAAGAUAAUGACGGUACCUGACUAAGAAGCCCCGGCUAACUACGUGCCAGCAGCCGCGGUAAUACGUAGGGGGCAAGCGUUAUCCGGAUUUACUGGGUGUAAAGGGAGUGUAGGUGGUCUGGCAAGUCAGAUGUGAAAGCCCGCGGCUCACCCGCGUGACUUCAUUUGAAACUGUCAGACUGGAGUGCAGGAGAGGAAAGUGGAUUUCCUAGUGUAGCUUUGAAAUGCGUAGAUAUUAGGAAGAACCCCAGUGGCGAAGGCGGCUUUCUGGACUGUAACUGACACUGAGGCUCGAAAGCUUGGUGAGCAAACAGGAUUAGAUACCCUGGUA
rnacentral:rRNA from 1 species